CAAUACUACAUAUGACCACCAACAAGCUUCCAGUUGGAGUGGAGCUAAACUACCAAAUGGAUGGCAAGCUGUUUAACUUCAGCUGAUUCCGAGCCAAAACCAAGACCACCCUGACCUCAAUCAUCCAGUUUCAGC